rnacentral:rRNA from 1 species
UACACGGAGAGUUUGAUCCUGGCUCAGGACGAACGCUGGCGGCGUGCCUAACACAUGCAAGUCGAACGCGCCACCUCACUUGUGGGGUGGUGAGUGGCGAACGGCUGAGUAACACGUGAGCAACCUACCCUCGGCUCCGGGAUAACCUCGGGAAACUGGGGCUAAUACCGGAUGCGACCGCGCACGGCAUCGUCGCGUGGUGGAAAGGUUGCCGUCCGCGAGGGCGGCUUCCGGCCGUGGACGGGCUCGCGGCCUAUCAGUCUGACGGUGAGGUAACGGCUCACCGAGGCGAUGACGGGUAGCCGGCCUGAGAGGGUGACCGGCCAGACUGGGACUGAGACACGGCCCAGACUCCUACGGGAGGCAGCAGUGGGGAGUCUUGCGCAAUGGGCGAAAGCCUGACGCAGCGACGCCGCGUGGGGGAUGACGGCCUUCGGGUCGUAAACCUCUUUUCCCGUCGACGAAGGCUCCACGUGCUCGUGGGGCUGACGGUACGCGGGGAAUAAGGACCGGCUGACUACGUGCCAGCAGCCGCGGUAAUACGUAGGGUCCGAGCGUUGUCCGGAUUUACUGGGCGUAAAGGGCUCGUAGGCGGCCCGUCGCGUCGGUCGUGAAAGCCCUGAGCUCAACUCAGGAAUUGCGAUCGAUACGGGCGGGCUAGAGGGCGGAAGGGGCGAGCGGAAUUCCCGGUGUAGCGGUGAAAUGCGCAGAUAUCGGGAGGAACACCGGUGGCGAAGGCGGCUCGCUGGGCCGUUCCUGACGCUGAGGAGCGAAAGCGUGGGGAGCGAACAGGAUUAGAUACCCUGGUAGUCCACGCUGUAAACGCUGGGCGCUAGGUGUGGGGCUCUUCAACGAGUUCCGUGCCGUAGCUAACGCGUUAAGCGCCCCGCCUGGGGAGUACGGCCGCAAGGCUAAAACUCAAAGGAAUUGACGGGGGCCCGCACAAGCGGCGGAGUAUGUGGCUUAAUUCGAUGCAACGCGAAAAACCUUACCGGGGCUUGACAUGCCGGGAAAUCCCUCAGAGAUGGGGGGUGCCUUCGGGCGUCCGGCACAGGUGGUGCAUGGCUGUCGUCAGCUCGUGUCGUGAGAUGUUGGGUUAAGUCCCACAACGAGCGCAACCCCUGUCCCGUGUUACCAGCACUUUUAGGUGGGGACUCAUGGGAGACCGCCGGGGACAACUCGGAGGAAGGCGGGGACGACGUCAAGUCAUCAUGCCCCUUAUGUCCCGGGCAGCACACGUGCUACAAUGGCCGGUACAAUGGGCUGCGACCCCGCAAGGGUGAGCGAAUCCCAAAAGCCGGUCUCAGUUCGGAUUGGGGUCUGCAACCCGACCCUAUGAAGACGGAGUCGCUAGUAAUCGCGGAUCAGCAGCGCCGCGGUGAAUACGUUCCCGGGCCUUGUACACACCGCCCGUCACGUACGGGGAGUCGGCAAUGCCCGAAGCCGGUGGCCCAACCCGCAAGGGAGGGUGCCGGCGAAGGCAGGGCUGGCGACUGGUACGAAGUCGUAACAAGGUAGCAGUACCGGAAGGUGCGGCUGGAUCACCUCCUUU